rnacentral:rRNA from 1 species
CCUACGGGAGACAGCAGUGAGGAAUCUUGGUCAAUGGCCGGAAGGCUGAACCAGCCAAGCCGCGUGAAGGACGAAGGUGCCAAGCAUUGUAAACUUCUUUUGUCAAGGGACAAAAUCAGGCUCGAGAGCCUGACCGAGGGUACUUGUAGAUAAAGCAUCGGCUAACUCCGUGCCAGUAGCCGCGGUAAUACGGAGGAUGCGAGCGUUAGCCGGAUUUAUUGGGUUUAAAGGGAGCGUAGAUGGGUUGUUAAGUCAGUUGUGAAAGUUUGCGGCUCAACCGUAACAUUGCAAUUGAUACUGGCAGUCUUGAGUACAGUUGAGGUGAGCGGAAUUCGUGGUGUAGCGGUGAAAUGCUUAGAUAUAACGAAGAACCCCGAUUGCGAAGGCAGCUUACUAAACUGUGACUGACAUUGAUGCUCGAAAGUGUGGGUAUCAAACAGGAUUAGAUACCCUAGUAGUC